CACGUAGGGCGCAAGCGUUGUCCGGAAUUAUUGGGCGUAAAGAGCUCGUAGGCGGUCUGUUGCGUCCGCUGUGAAAACUCGGGGCUUAACCCCGAGCCUGCAGUGGAUACGGGCAGACUAGAGGUAGGUAGGGGAGAAUGGAAUUCCCGGUGUAGCGGUGAAAUGCGCAGAUAUCGGGAGGAACACCUGUGGCGAAAGCGGCUCACUGGACCAUUACUGACGCUGAUGCUCGAAAGCUAGGGGAGCAAACAGG
rnacentral:rRNA from 1 species